UUAUCAACAAAUAGUAUUCAAAAUUUUUCUCCGAUUACAAUGUGUUAAAUUCUUUCAAACACAUUUUAGCUAAUUCAAUCGUUAAUUAGCCAAAAUGUCGAAAUUUAUAAAAUUAAUGAGCAGUUUCUUCAUAAGUCAGGCAGAGGAAGGAGAAUGGUCCGCAGACACUUUACUACAGUUUAUUGAAGACAAAAUGGAAGACAACAGCUCAAACGACAAAGACUCUAAGAAACAUGGAAUUUUUCGACAUGAGAAAAACGUGGCUUGUAUUAUAUGUCGUACAUUAACUGCUCUUCAGCAAUAACGCGCCAUCUACCGAUGACACAUUUUGGGGCAAGGAGAUUUAAGAAAUAAACGAAAUCUAAUACUUGCCCUACUUAACUUUGACUACACUAUUUAAAUUCUCAAUGGAUGAUAAAUUUUUAUUGAACAUUGAAUAUUGGACAACAUUUAUAUUGGUUUCAAUAUUACUAAUCGGUAAUCAAUACGAGUCUCUUGACGUGGACUAGGAAGGCACUGCUGUGUAAUUAUCUCAACUAAAGUCUUGUAAAAUAAUUUAUUUACAUUCAUCGACGGUUAACUUAUAUAUGAACUUCAAACAGAUCAUCCAGUACAUCCAGUACAUACAGUACAUCCACUUAAUGUAUUAUUAUUUAAAUAGGCUUAGAUUCUCGAAUAGAAUGUGGAUAUCCUAAUAAUUAAAAAGGAAGAAGACAAGGAGAACUGAAAAGAGCAUCAAAAAAAAAAAAUUAUGGAGAAA